GGUGAACCUGCGGAAGGAUCAUUAUCGAGCUUCAACAAAA
rnacentral:rRNA from 1 species